GAGGAUGUAGCUCAGUGGUCGAGCGCAUGCUUAGAAUGCACGAGGUCCUGGGUUCAAUCCCCAGCACCGCCA
rnacentral:tRNA from 1 species